GAUGAACGCUGGCGGCGUGCCUAAUACAUGCAAGUCGAGCGAACGGACGAGAAGCUUGCUUCUCUGAUGUUAGCGGCGGACGGGUGUGUAACACGUGGAUAACCUACCUAUAAGACUGGGAUAACUUCGGGAAACCGGAGCUAAUACCGGAUGAUAUUUUGAACCGCAUGGUUCAAAAGUGAAAGACGGUCUUGCUGUCACUUAUAGAUGGAUCCGCGCUGCAUUAGCUAGUUGGUAAGGUAACGGCUUACCAAGGCAACGAUGCAUAGCCGACCUGAGAGGGUGAUCGGCCACACUGGAACUGAGACACGGUCCAGACUCCUACGGGAGGCAGCAGUAGGGAAUCUUCCGCAAUGGGCGAAAGCCUGACGGAGCAACGCCGCGUGAGUGAUGAAGGUCUUCGGAUCGUAAAACUCUGUUAUUAGGGAAGAACAUAUGUGUAAGUAACUGUGCACAUCUUGACGGUACCUAAUCAGAAAGCCACGGCUAACUACGU
rnacentral:rRNA from 1 species